rnacentral:rRNA from 1 species
UACAGAGGAUGCAAGCGUUAUCCGGAAUGAUUGGGCGUAAAGCGUCUGUAGGCGGCUUUUUAAGUCCGCCGUGAAAUCCCAGGGCUCAACUCUGGACAGGCGGUGGAAACUACCAAGCUGGAGUUCGGUAGGGGCAGAGGGAAUUUCCGGUGGAGCGGUGAAAUGCGUAGAGAUCGGGAAGAACACCAACGGCGAAAGCACUCUGCUGGGCCGACACUGACACUGAGAGACGAAAGCUAGGGGAGCGAAUGGG